rnacentral:rRNA from 1 species
CAUUACUGAAUGUCGAAGGUUGUAGCUGACACCUUUGGGUGUAUGUGCUCGCCUUCAAUUCAUUUUACCACCUGUGAACCUUUGUAGACUGUGGAUGUUGGUUUCAACUAGCAAUAGUUGGUUUGAAGGUUGCUUAACGGCUUCCUUGCGCGUCCCAGUUUAUGUUUAUCAUAUACUCUGUAUGUUUUGAAUGUCAAUUUAUGGGUCUUGUACCUAUAGAACCUUAUACAACUUUCANCAACGGAUCUCUUGGCUCUCGCAUCGAUGAAGAACGCAGCGAAAUGCGAUAAGUAAUGUGAAUUGCAGAAUUCAAGUGAAUCAUCGAAUCUUUGAACGCACCUUGCGCUCCUUGGUAUUCCGAGGAGCAUGCCUGUUUGAGUGUCAUUAAAUUCUCAAACCUUUAUUUGGUUUUACUAGAUGAAGGCUUUGGAUGUGGAGGNUGCUGGAUUCUAACGAAGGUCAGCUCUUCUUAAAUGCAUUAGUGGUUAUCGAUCCCAUUUCCUGGUGUGAUAAUAUCUACGCCUUGAAAGAAAGAUCUAAUGUAACUGCUUUCUAACCGUCUGCAAAGACAACUUGAACCAUUUGACCUCAAAUCAGGUAGGACUACCC